AGAGUUUGAUCAUGGCUCAGAGUGAACGCUGGCGGCGUGGAUUAGGCAUGCAAGUCGAGCGAUGUGGAUCUAUGAGUAAGGCCSACCGCAAGGAAGGUUUUACAAGUGGAUUUGUAUAGCGGCWAACGGGUGAGUAAUACGUGAGUAAUCUACCCCUAGGACUGGAAUAGCCCAGAGAAAUCUGGGGUAAUGACAGAUGUGACUACSAUCUCUCAUGAGAACGUAGUAAAAGACGGGGGCUUGUCGCUAGACAGGCCCGUCACCMAGGGAGGAGCUCGCGGCCUAUCAGCUUGUUGGUGAGGUAAGAGCUCACCAAGGCGAAGACKGGUAGCUAGUCUGAGAGGAUGUU
rnacentral:rRNA from 1 species